UACGUAGGGGGCAAGCGUUAUCCGGAUUUACUGGGUGUAAAGGGAGCGUAGACGGCAGCGCAAGUCUGGAGUGAAAUGCCGGGGCCCAACCCCGGAACUGCUUUGGAAACUGUGCAGCUCGAGUGCAGGAGAGGUGAGCGGAAUUCCUAGUGUAGCGGUGAAAUGCGUAGAUAUUAGGAGGAACACCAGUGGCGAAGGCGGCUUACUGGACUGUAACUGACGUUGAGGCUCGAAAGCGUGGGGAGCAAACAGG
rnacentral:rRNA from 1 species